UACAGAGGUCUCAAGCGUUGUUCGGAUUCAUUGGGCGUAAAGGGUGCGUAGGCGGCGCGGUAAGUCGGGUGUGAAAUCUCGGGGCUUAACUCCGAAACUGCAUUCGAUACUACCGUGCUUGAGGACUGGAGAGGAGACUGGAAUUUACGGUGUAGCGGUGAAAUGCGUAGAUAUCGUAAGGAAGACCAGUGGCGAAGGCGGGUCUCUGGACAGUUUCUGACGCUGAGGCACGAAGGUCAGGGGAGCAAACGGG
rnacentral:rRNA from 1 species